rnacentral:rRNA from 1 species
GACGAACCGUGCGAACGUUGUUCGGAAUCACUGGGCUUAAAGGGCGCGUAGGCGGCUUUGCGUGUCUUUCGUGAAAUCCCUCGGCUCAACUGAGGACGUGCGGAAGAAACUGCAGGGCUGGAGUCCGGGAGAGGAGGGUGGAAUUCCCAGUGUAGCGGUGAAAUGCGUAGAUAUUGGGAGGAACACCGGUGGCGAAGGCGGCCCUCUGGACCGGUACUGACGCUGAUGCGCGAAAGCGUGGGGAGCAAACGGG